GUGGGGAAUAUUGGACAAUGGGCGAAAGCCUGAUCCAGCCAUGCCGCGUGUGUGAAGAAGGUCUUCGGAUUGUAAAGCACUUUAAGUUGGGAGGAAGGGCAGUAAGUUAAUACCUUGCUGUUUUGACGUUACCGACAGAAUAAGCACCGGCUAACUUCGUGCCAGCAGCCGCGGUAAUACGAAGGGUGCAAGCGUUAAUCGGAAUUACUGGGCGUAAAGCGCGCGUAGGUGGUUUUGUAAGUUGUAGGUGAAAUCCCCGGGCUCAACCUGGGAACUGCCUCCAAAACUGCAUGACUAGAGUACGGUAGAGGGUAGUGGAAUUUCCUGUGUAGCGGUGAAAUGCGUAGAUAUAGGAAGGAACACCAGUGGCGAAGGCGACUACCUGGACUGAUACUGACACUGAGGUGCGAAAGCGUGGGGAGCAAACAGGAUUAGAAACCCUGGUAGUCC
rnacentral:rRNA from 1 species